GUGGUCAAGUUACAAAGGGCUAACGGUGGAUACCUAGGCACACAGAGGCGAAGAAGGACGUGGCGACCGACGAUAAGCUCCGGGGAGCUGGAAGCAAGCAUUGAGCCGGAGAUGUCCGAAUGGGGCAACCCAGUAAGCAUCAGUUGAAUACAUAGACUGAGAGCAGCGAACCCAGCGAAUUGAAACAUCUUAGUAGCUGGAGGAAGAGAAAGCAAUAGCGAUUUCCCAAGUAGUGGUGAGCGAACGGGAAACAGCCUAAACCAGAGGUUUUUACUUCUGGGGUCGUGGGACAGUCAAUUAACGUAUCUUCAAGCUAGACAAAGCAGUUGAAAGCUGCACCAGAGAAGGUGAAAGUCCUGUAGUCGAAAGUAGAGAGGACGCGAUUGUAUCCCGAGUAGCACGGGGCCCGUGAAAUCCCGUGUGAAUCAGCGAGGACCAUCUCGUAAGGCUAAAUACUACUGUGUGACCGAUAGUGAACCAGUACCGCGAGGGAA
rnacentral:rRNA from 1 species